GGAUGUGAGGGCGCUCUGGCUGCGACAUCUGUCACCCCACUGAUCGCCAGGGUUGAUUCAGCUGAUCUGGCUGGCAGGGUGGGCGUCUCCUUCCUCCCUCACCGCCCCAUGUGCGUCCCUCCCGAAGCUGAGCGCUAGGUGGACAGGUUUGCGGUCAAGGGCAUAUAGGAGCUCACUA
rnacentral:snRNA from 1 species